AGCAACCUGGAGGUCAUGGGGAGCAACCAGGGCUCAUGGGGAGCAACCAGGAGUUUAUGGGGAGCAACCAGGAGAUCAUGGAGAGCAACCUGGAGCUCAUGGGGAGCAACCUGGAGCUCAUGGGGAGUAACCAGGAGAUCAUGGAGAGCCCCCAGAACUCAUGGAGAGCAACCAGAAGCUCAUGGGGAGCCCCCAGAGCUCAUGGAGAGCAACCUGGAGCUCGUGGGGAGCAACCUGGAGAUGAUGGGAGCAACGUGGAGAUCGUGGGGAGCAAGCAGGGAUCGUGGGGAGCAUCUGGAGCUCCUGGGGAGCGACCAGGGAUCAUUUGCGGCACCCAGAGCUCAUGGGGAGCACCCGCGGAGGAGACCGUGGGGUAUCAGGAGCACCCAUGGGUGAUGGGGAGCACCCACUGGUGCC
rnacentral:lncRNA from 1 species